rnacentral:rRNA from 1 species
AUGGCCGGGAAGCUAAUUGCAAACCUUAUUGUCAUGGGCUCUGGGAUUAUAGGAAGAGCUAUGCUUCAGGCAUACCGAAAAGCACUUGAAAAUGCAAAUAAAACUGGUGUGGCCCAUGAAGCAAUCAACAAUAUCCGUAGGGCCAGCAAGACAAUGACCGAGCAAGAAGCGAGGCAGAUAUUGGGUGUGACUGAGCAGUCGACAUGGGAAGAGAUUGCACAGCGGUAUGACAAGCUAUUCGAGAGAAAUGCGACAUCUGGGAGCUUUUACCUCCAAUCCAAGGUUCACCGGGCCAAGGAGUGCCUAGAAAAUGUGUACCAAAAGAACAAGCAAGAUGGAACUCGGACCUGA